rnacentral:rRNA from 1 species
CAGCAGCCGCGGGAAUACGUAGGGUGCGAGCGUUAAUCGGAAUUACUGGGCGUAAAGCGUGCGCAGGCGGUUAUAUAAGACAGAUGUGAAGUCCCCGAGCUCAACCUGGGACCUGCAUUUGUGACUGUAUAGCUAGAGUACGGUAGAGGGGGAUGGAAUUCCGCGUGUAGCAGUGAAAUGCGUAGAUAUGCGGAGGAACACCGAUGGCGAAGGCAAUCCCCUGGGCCUGUACUGACGCUCAUGCACGAAAGCGUGGGGAGCAAACAGGAUUAGAUACCCCUGUAGUCCCUGUCUCUUAUAC